GACGAACGCUGGCGGCGUGCCUAAUACAUGCAAGUUGAGCGCUGAAGGUUGGUACUUGUACCAACUGGAUGAGCAGCGAACGGGUGAGUAACGCGUGGGGAAUCUGCCUUUGAGCGGGGGACAACAUUUGGAAACGAAUGCUAAUACCGCAUAAAAACUUUAAACACAAGUUUUAUGUUUGAAAGAUGCAAUUGCAUCACUCAAAGAUGAUCCCGCGUUGUAUUAGCUAGGUGGUGAGGUAAAGGCUCACCAAGGCGAUGAUACAUAGCCGACCUGAGAGGGUGAUCGGCCACAUUGGGACUGAGACACGGCCCAAACUCCUACGGGAGGCAGCAGUAGGGAAUCUUCGGCAAUGGACGAAAGUCUGACCGAGCAACGCCGCGUGAGUGAAGAAGGUUGUCGGAUCGUAAAACUCUGUUGGUAGAGAAGAACGUUGGUGAGAGUGGAAAGCUCAUCAAGUGACGGUAACUACCCAGAAAGGGACGGCUAACUACGUG
rnacentral:rRNA from 1 species